GUAGCAUUCAAGGUAAAAAAAGUCGAGAAGCGAAUACAACCAUUCAUUGUACGGGGUCAAAACCUUUUGCCCGCUAUAGAGAGGAAAUGUGUGAUCCAGAAACAGGUGAAGUUGUUGAACAAAUUGAAUUCUACAAGUUAACCCACUGCAAAAAUUAUGUUUGGACCUGUCAUACGGCGGAGGAAAACUAUGGUAAAAUGCUUGAACUCCGAGCUGCGCCUACACCUGAAGGUUCAACAC